rnacentral:rRNA from 1 species
CACUGCGCCGAAAAUGUACCGGGGCUAAACAUAUUACCGAAGCUGUGGAUUGUCCUUUGGACAAUGGUAGGAGAGCGUUCUAAGGGCGUUGAAGCAUGAUCGUAAGGACAUGUGGAGCGCUUAGAAGUGAGAAUGCCGGUGUGAGUAGCGAAAGACGGGUGAGAAUCCCGUCCACCGAUUGACUAAGGUUUCCAGAGGAAGGCUCGUCCGCUCUGGGUUAGUCGGGUCCUAAGCUGAGGCCGACAGGCGUAGGCGAUGGAUAACAGGUUGAUAUUCCUGUACCACCUAUAAUCGUUUUAAUCGAUGGGGGGACGCAGUAGGAUAGGCGAAGCGUGCGAUUGGAUUGCACGUCUAAGCAGUAAGGCUGAGUAUUAGGCAAAUCCGGUACUCGUUAAGGCUGAGCUGUGAUGGGGAGAAGACAUUGUGUCUUCGAGUCGUUGAUUUCACACUGCCGAGAAAAGCCUCUAGAUAGAAAAUAGGUGCCCGUACCGCAAACCGACACAGGUAGUCAAGAUGAGAAUUCUAAGGUGAGC